rnacentral:rRNA from 1 species
ACGGCGAGUGAGAGAGGAAGAGCCCAAGAUUGAAAGCUGGCGUCUUCGGCGUCCGCAUUGUAAUCUCAAGAAGUGUUUUCCGCUUCGGACCAUGCCUAAGUCCCUUGGAAAAGGGCAUCAUAGAGGGUGAUAAUCCCGUACAUGGCAUGGAGCGCCCGAAGCUUUGUGAUACGCUUUCUACGAGUCGAGUUGAUUGGGAAUGCAGCUCAAAAUGGGUGGUAAAUGCCAUCUAAGGCUAAAUAUUGGGGAGAGACCGAUAGCGAACAAGUACAGUGAUGGAAAGAUGAAAAGAACUUUGAAAAGAGAGUUAAACAGUACGUGAAAUUGCCAAAAGGGAAGGGUAGGAGGUCAGAGAUGUGUCUUGGGAUUCAGCCUUGCUUUUGCAUGGUGUUUUUCCCAAGUUGCAGGCCAACGUCGGUUUUGGGCACUGGAGAAGGGUAGGAGGAACGUGGCACCUCUCGGGGUGUGUUAUAGCCUCCUACUGGAUACAGCGACCGAGACCGAGGAACGCAUCGUACUCGUAAGAGCGGGCCUUUUGGCACCUUUACGCUACGGCGUUGGCAUAAUGGCCCUCUACCACCCGUCUUGA